rnacentral:rRNA from 1 species
UACGGAGGGUGCUAGCGUUGUUCGGAAUUACUGGGCGUAAAGCGCGUGUAGGCGGCCGAUUAAGUCUGGUGUGAAAGCCCGGGGCUCACCCCCCGGAAGUGCGCUGGAAACUGGUCGGCUAGAGUAUGGGAGAGGAAAGUGGAAUUCCCGGUGUAGCGGUGAAAUGCGUAGAUAUCAGGAGGAACACCAAUGGCGAAGGCAGCUCGCUGGGGACGGUACUGACGCUGAGGCGCGAAAGCGUGGGGGAGCAAACAGG